rnacentral:rRNA from 1 species
AUGGCAAGAGCUAUUGUUGCUAUUUUCGCUACAAUGAUUCUUUUUCCUGUAAUAAUAGGGUAUAGAAAAGCUACAUUUGCUUAUAUAGAUGAGAGAGGGCCUUCAAGCAAAGUCAUGUGUGAUGCAAUACACAGGCUACCCUUUGAAACUGGAGGGUUGCAGCAUGUGAAGGGGGCAUGUAAGUUUCUUUACACCGAUUAUCCAACAGCACCUGUGACGGCGACUGCGCCUCCGAAACUGGAACUUUGUGAUCCUGAUGGAUCAAAAUGUAAGCUUUCGGAUGCAAAGGUGAACACCCAAUAA